rfam:Salmo salar isolate Sally breed double haploid chromosome ssa07, whole genome shotgun sequence.
UGGCUUAGUUGGUAGAGCAUGGUGUUUGCAAUGCCAGGGUUGUGGGGUCAAUUCCCAC